GGAGGGGUGGCUCAAGUGGUAGAGUGUGUGCUUUGCAAGCAUGAAGCCCUGGGUUCAAAUCCCAGUCCCUCCA